ensembl:lncRNA
CGGCUUGCUGUGGCUGGGGAUCCAGGGCGCCCAGGGCUGGCAUCUGGCUGUGGUGGUCAGACCCCCUUCCAGCAUCCCCCUGGGCAGGGCUGUCGUCCUCCCAGGUCUGUGUCAGGCCACAGGCCAGCCCUAGACACCGCCCGCGCUCUGACCAAGCCGGCUGGGCCGGCCGCCGCCCCCGCUCUGCCCUGGGUGCUGCUGUGUUCCCUUUGCGCGAGGGGGGGAAGGCCCCGAGCUCUCAAGUCCUUGUCACUUCCUGCACCAGUGUCAGCGCUUUCUGGACGUAGCCUUAAUGGUCCAAAGAGGAGCCAUUUCCGCUUGAGAUUCAAACUUGAGACGGUAAAACCGCUGCCUUCGUAGGAACGUGUCACCCAGAAGCCAAACGUGGCCUCCCCGGGCUCAGACUGGGACGUUGCGGAGGGAACACCGCUUCCGAGAUGCUUGAUGUGAGGCGGUUUGGAGCCGUUCAAAUUUCACAGUUUGAAUAAUGUUUCACCUCUAAGCCUUAAAAUAGAAAGAAGCUUCUCGGUGGUUGGCGUCCUCUUCCUGCCUGGCUGGAGAUGGUUACCAGUUCCCUUGGGUACGUCCAGUCUCCUUGCAAAAGUCUCCGGCCAUCUCACCUCCAGAAUGUCUUUUUCAAAUUGCCUGUGAAAGUAUUAACCUACUUACUUUCCGGCCAUGAGACGGAAGUUAGGUGAGGGAGGGAGAGCGGAGCCUCGGAAGUGACAUUUCAGCCCAGAGCUAAGAGAGUCCCGCCUGAAGGUGGGUGGUGUGUACUUGCCUUAAACGAACCGCAAAGCAAGUAAUUGAAGCAUUUUGCUUAGUUUUGAAAAUCUUACUCGCAGCUGCACGUUGAUAUAAAUUAGGAAGCCGUCGUUUCCCCCGGCGGCCCGGACAUCUGGGUUCCUGACCCGCUCGCCACCCCCCACACAGCAAGCCGAGUGGGAGCCUUCCAUCCUGCUUUCCCCCCAUGCACCGCACGCACAUCCGCUGCCUGAGGGGACCCUGCCUCCAGGGGUGAAGCUCCUCCCUUUCAGGAAGUGCGGGCCCCGCCUUUAGGAUGGGUGGCCGCCAGCAGCUCCUGGACCACCUGUCCAGCAUCCAGAACUGGGAGAUGAGACCCUCUCUUGGCAACUCCUGUUAGAGCCCAGGUCAGCCCACUCCUGUGCGCCUGACUGGAUGGGGUGAACGCAGACCAAAGGACCCCUGGGGCCCCCGAGACUGCGGGUGGCCAGAAGUGCCAGCCUCUGCAGCAGCAGGUUUCUACAAGCGUAGUUUAGCCUGGCGAGAUUGUGCAGCUUGACCUGGAGAAAUGCCUGGCACAUGCCAUGUAACUCUUCUUGAAUUGAUGGGCAUCGCACGUUCAGGGCCACCUGAGGGAAGUCUCGGCCUUUUCCUUUAAAACCACUACGCUCAUCUGUUUUGCACUGACUAUCAAUAACUUAAUACACCCACUCCCACUUAUCUUUAAAUGAAUGGUAUUUAUUUGACAGCUCAGUGUAACAGCUUGCUAUGCACUUUCUUUUGGAAGUUUCCCAUCUGAAACUUGGAAAACAGGAAAAAUGUCAGCUGACAGAUGUAUUCAUUUUUUUUUUUUUGUUAAAGUUAGCGGGUAGGUGAAUGGGGCUAAGACUCAUUCUGAUACUGUGUGUAAACAAGCUUUAAGGAAGAUGUGCCAGAGCGUUCAAGUCUGAUUCUACUUUUGCAGAAAAAAAUCUAAAGAUCAGUUUAUAGAGCUUUAUUUUUUACCUUAUCGAAAUAUACAGAAUUUUAAUAUGCAUAUGUUGUCUCCGACUUAAAAUUAGAAUGUAUGUCUGCAUUGCUGUUUAACAUGUCCACUCAUCGUGUAGUGAUGUAAUAGCAGAGCCUUCUCAGACAUGGGCUUAACACAGAUGGAACCUGUAGUUGUUGUCGUCAUAAAUACUGGACUUUAUUUUUAAAUUAUUGAAUAUAGUAGGUGCGUUCAAGACUAUAAAUCAGCCUCCAAACCAUAAUGUUUAAUUGCAAAUAAAUCAUUAACCUGCUCUGAAACAUUAAAUUGGGAUUAAACCACGUCUUACAUUUCUGUAAAA